rnacentral:rRNA from 10 species
AAACGACUCUCGGCAACGGAUAUCUCGGCUCUCGCAUCGAUGAAGAACGUAGCGAAAUGCGAUACUUGGUGUGAAUUGCAGAAUCCCGCGAACCAUCGAGUCUUUGAACGCAAGUUGCGCCCGAAGCCAUCAGGCCGAGGGCACGUCUGCCUGGGCGUCACGC